CGUCUAUAUACGUAUAGCAUAUCAAUAAGCGGAGGAAAAGAAACUAACUAAGGAUUCCCUCAGUAACGGCGAGUGAAGCGGGAAGAGCUCAAAUUUGAAAUCUCAAGGUUCUACCUUGACGAAUUGUAGUUUAAAGAAGUGUUUUCUGUUGGAGUUUUGGUAAAAGUUCUUUGGAAUAGGACAUCAUAGAGGGUGAGAAUCCCGUAUUUGACCAUUAUUUCCAGCUUUGUGAUACACUUUCAAAGAGUCGGAUUGUUUGGGAAUGCAGUCCAAAAUGGGUGGUAGAUUUCAUCUAAAGCUAAAUACUGGCGAGAGACCGAUAGCGAACAAGUACCGUGAGGGAAAGAUGAAAAGAACUUUGAAAAGAGAGUUAAACAGUACGUGAAAUUGUCAAAAGGGAAGCGUUUGACACCAGUGUUGUUUUCUCGAAAAUCAAUUAAAAAUGAUGGGAUUUUGUGUUGUAUUGACUUUAUCAGCUUUCUGCACUCUUUUUCCUAUCUUUUUUAAUGCACUUUUCGUUUAACAAGUCAACAUCAAUUUCUUUUGUUGUAAAAGAGUCAUUGGAAGGUGGCUUUCUUUUCGGAGAAAGUGUUUAUAGCCUUUGGCUUCUGCAAUCGGAGAGAUUGAGGUCUGCAGCGUAGAUCCUUCGGGGUUAGAUGCAUUUGUGCUAAGUUAUAGCCUUUCAUAGACAACUUGUUGACUAUGAUCAGUCAUGUAGCUUACUCGCUUAUGUCAUUUUACCUACGCUUAGGAUGUUGAUAUGCAUGACUGAUAU
rnacentral:rRNA from 1 species